GACGAACGCUGGCGGCGGGCUUAACACAUGCAAGUCGAACGGAAAGGCCCUGCUUUUGUGGGGUGCUCGAGUGGCGAACGGGUGAGUAACACGUGAGUAACCUGCCCUUGACUUUGGGAUAACUUCAGGAAACUGGGGCUAAUACCGGAUAGGAGCUCCUGCUGCAUGGUGGGGGUUGGAAAGUUUCGGCGGUUGGGGAUGGACUCGCGGCUUAUCAGCUUGUUGGUGGGGUAGUGGCAUACCAAGGCUUUGACGGGUAGCCGGCCUGAGAGGGUGACCGGCCACAUUGGGACUGAGAGACGGACCAGACUCCUACGGGAGGCAGCAGUGGGGAAUAUUGCACAACGGGAGGGAGCCUGAUGCAGCAACGCCGCGUGCGGGAUGACGGCCUUCGGGUUGUAAACCGCUUUCGCCUGUGACGAAGCGUGAGUGACGGUAAUGGGUAAAGAAGCACCGGCUAACUACGUG
rnacentral:rRNA from 1 species